GACUAACUGAAACAAAACAGGAACUAGACUGAUGUGGAUACUGAAGCAAAGCAGGAGCAUGACAGGCGAUAGCAGAUAUCUGGCAGGUAGCUUGCAGGACGAGGCGACGGGGAACAAAUGAAACCGCAUUGACGAGGAGGAGGCUGCAGACUACAAGUCACUCUUCAGACCCAGCCAGGAAAGCAUUAGAGGCAGAUUGAUUAGUCUGCUCCACUUGGCUGAUUAAUCAGGACCCGUUAGGUGGAGACGAGGACCAUUUAUGGCUGAUUAUCGUCCCCUGAAAGCAUAAGGAGCAAUUUACAGCGGAACCUUUCCACCAGACACAGAUGGAUGUGAUGGCUGGUUAGGAGGCCUGGACUUGGGAGUCAACUGUGGCUUCAUAUGCACCAGCAGCACCUCCACAACCUGCAGGUCAUCCACAUCAUAUUCUUCCUACUGAGUCUGUGUUGUCCUAGAGGGGAUGUAACAUGAAAACAUAAUCUCACACCACUACUUCAUUCCUUCAGCAGCAUUAGAUUAGAUUGAAACUUCCCUGCACACUUUCCCGGGGCUG